GGGACAAAAAAGAGGAUUAAAAACGCCUUUUUAGUGCAUGGAUUGCUUCUUUUUUAACUUAUCUGAGAACAAUUGCUAUGGGUAAAGCAUAAAAUGGCAGGUAAAUGGCCUUAAUCAAUAUCGAAAAAAAGAAUCAUAUUCACCGUCCACUUUCGAACCCCGGGCGUCAGCCAUCUUGACACAGUUUGAAAUAACGCGGCUUCUCGACUCAAAUACGAGAUGUAAACAAUGCAGACAGCAUGUCGUUUCGAAGGUGAACGUGGACGUGAAGGAGAAGAGGAAUUGCUCACCGAAUCUUUGCAGCCUUUCAGAGGAGGAAUUGGGUGAUACACCCCUUCAAGCACGAGUGGAGAGAUCAGUGCCUCAAGUUUUAUCUGGAAAACUCAUACCAGGAAGCACUCCAAUCUUACAAUACUGCAUCACUUCAAUGUCGGCGGGACAAGUUGUGUAAAAGACUGCUACAAAAAAUUUGCAUUGAUGACCACAUGAUCCACCACCUUUUACCAAAACCGAGUGAAAGGUUUUAUAUUAUAAUGCCUAUGUACAUGUAUUUAAAGUGACAAGACUGAGAUCAGCGAGAGCCUCAAGGACUUUAUUUUCUGGGCAUUGUCAACUCUUCAAUAGUUUUAUAAUUUUGCCACAUACAUCCAAAGAUUCAAUUCUAAUGCAAUUCUUGAAAACUUUUUUAGAAUAUAAUUUAAUGUCGAACAUGUUUUUAUAAGAACUAGACCUUUAGUAAAUUAACAAUAUGUAUUAUCCAACUGUUAUUAUUAAUUAACAUAUUGUUAUGUACAAAGCAUAAGCUGCAGUAACAAUGUAGCAUUAACUGGGUAGAGAUUAUGAAUGAAAUAAAAGUUCAAAUAUUGAAACAUCUUUUAUUUAUAUUUGGAAAAAAUACAAGAAUAAACAAAGUUUGCUACAUAAGUUUGGAAUUUGGCCAAAUCAUCUUUAUUAUUACCUGUCACAUGUAAUGAAUAAGACAUAUACAGAUUUUGGAAGCUAGAAUGCAUAAUUAUUUUCAUACUUAU